rnacentral:rRNA from 1 species
GACGAACGCUGGCGGCGUGCCUAAUACAUGCAAGUAGAACGCCGUUGCGAACGGGUGAGUAACGCGUAGGUAACCGCCUCAUAGCGGGGGGUAACUAUUGGAAAAGAUAGCUAAUACCGCAUACUGUGAGAUGGACCUGCGUUGUAUUAGCUAGUUGGUGAGGUAAAGGCUCACCAAGGCGACGAUCCAUAGCCGAACUAUGAGGGUGGCCGGCCAAACUGGGACCGGGACACGGCUCCGACUCCUACCGGAGGCAGCCGUAGGGAAUCUUCGGAAAUGGACGGCAGUCUUACCGAGCAACGCCGCGUGAGGGAAGAAGGUUUUCGGAUUUGAAAGGUCUUUUGAUAGAGGAGCGUUACCUAACCAGAAAGGGACGGCUAACUACGUGCCAGCAGCCGCGGUAAUUC